rnacentral:rRNA from 1 species
AACGAACGCUGGCGGCAGGCCUAACACAUGCAAGUCGAACGCCGUAGCAAUACGGAGUGGCAGACGGGUGAGUAACACGUGGGAACGUACCCUUCGGUUCGGAAUAACUCAGGGAAACGUUAGAGCUAAUACCGGAUACGUCCGAGAGGAGAAAGAUUUAUCGCCGAGGGAUCGGCCCGCGUCUGAUUAGCUUGUUGGUGAGGUAACGGCUCACCAAGGCGACGAUCAGUAGCUGGUCUGAGAGGAUGAUCAGCCACAUUGGGACUGAGACACGGCCCAAACUCCUACGGGAGGCAGCAGUGGGGAAUAUUGGACAAUGGGCGCAAGCCUGAUCCAGCCAUGCCGCGUGAGUGAUGAAGGCCCUA